GAGAGAGAGAGAGAGAGAGAGAGAGAGAGAGAGAGAGAGAGAUGGAUUGUUGCUUACUGCAAGUACUAGAGAGUUGAAAACCUGAAACUAAUUGAAAAGAGAAGGCUAAGCUAUAGCGUUGAUCAUCUAUUUUUACUCCCUAUGAGGGUUAAAGCCAGCCAACUACAUCUCAACUACUUCUGUUGAACUGCCCUUUCAAUCCAAAUGAGAGAGAGAGCGAGAGAGACGUGCCUCAUCAUACAUAUCGUUAUCAUCAAUGCAUGCAUUUGCAUGCUCUCUCUCUCUCUCUCUCUCUCUCUCUCUCUCUCUCUCUCUCUCC
rnacentral:miRNA from 1 species